rnacentral:rRNA from 1 species
UACGGAGGGGGCUAGCGUUGUUCGGAAUUACUGGGCGUAAAGCGCGCGUAGGCGGACCUGCAAGUCGGGGGGUGAAAGCCCGAGGCUCAACCUCGGAACUGCCUUCGAUACUGCGGGUCUCGAGUCCGGGAGAGGUGAGUGGAAUUCCUAGUGUAGAGGUGAAAUUCGUAGAUAUUAGGAAGAACACCAGUGGCGAAGGCAGCUCACUGGCCCGGUACUGACGCUGAGGCGCGAAAGCGUGGGGAGCAAACAGG